CCUACGGGUGGCUGCAGUGGGGAAUAUUGGACAAUGGGGGCAACCCUGAUCCAGCCAUGCCGCGUGUGUGAAGAAGGCCCUCGGGUUGUAAAGCACUUUCAGUGAGGAAGAACGCCUGGUGGUUAAUACCCAUCAGGAAAGACAUCACUCACAGAAGAAGCACCGGCUAACUCCGUCCCAGCAGCCGCGGUAAUACGGAGGGUGCGAGCGUUAAUCGGAAUUACUGGGCGUAAAGCGCGCGUAGGUGGCUUGAUAAGCCGGUUGUGAAAGCCCCGGGCUCAACCUGGGAACGGCAUCCGGAACUGUCAAGCUAGAGUGCAGGAGAGGAAGGUAGAAUUCCCGGUGUAGCGGUGAAAUGCGUAGAGAUCGGGAGGAAUACCAGUGGCGAAGGCGGCCUUCUGGACUGACACUGACACUGAGGUGCGAAAGCGUGGGUAGCAAACAGGAUUAGAUACCCGUGUAGUC
rnacentral:rRNA from 1 species